AAAGCUACAACGUCUGUAGCAAAACAGACCUACACAAAACUGUUCAAAAUGAACCAUAUAAUCGAUAACCUCAACCAAUCGGAACUUCUAACAAAUUAACAACACUUACAGCUGUAACAACAAGAAAAUGUAAACAACAAAGAUCGGGUCCCGGUUCCGGACCCAGCGUACCCGCCCUGCCUGAGACGAUCACCAGACCUCGUCUCCCUCAGUUAGACACUAGAUGACCUGCAUCAGCCCGUGUCGGCUGUUAUACCCACUCUCUUCAUAAAUUUUAUUUUAGCCGGACAUUCUCUUCCUUUAAUAUCCACUCACAAUCUCAUGCAAGCGGACCUUUCAUUAACUUUACAGGUAUCUCUUCAGGCUAUCUCCACUCAGCUAUUCACGUUCUCAUGCACGUGGACAUUUCUUUACAAGCCGAGCAACACAAAGAAAGGGAAAGACGUCACUGAAAGUUAUGGCCAAUUGCCGCUGGGAACAACGUUGGAGGACAAAUUUAUAAAUCUUAAUUGUGUGAUUAGCUCCCCCCCAAACAUUCAUGCCAUAUAUACGCAUUUAUAACUUCGCUAAAAAAAAGAUAUGCAAUAAAAUUUCUUAUAUAUAAAAUAA